rnacentral:rRNA from 1 species
UAGCGGCGRACGGGUGAGUAACACGUGGGCAACYUGCCCUAAGGAGCGGGAUAACACCAGGGAAACUGGUGCUAAUMCCGCAUAAAUGAGUCUCUGGCGCAUGCCAGAGCCUUUCAAAGAUUUAUCGCCUUAGGAUGGGCCCGCGUCCCAUUAGCCAGUUGGUGAGGUAACGGCCCACCAAAGCUACGAUGGGUAGCCGACCUGAGAGGGUGAUCGGCCACAUUGGAACUGAGACACGGUCCAGACUCCUACGGGAGGCAGCAGUGGGGAAUAUUGCACAAUGGGGGAAACCCUGAUGCAGCAACRCCGCGUGAGCGAUGAAGGCCUUMGGGUUGUAAAGCUCUGUCUUCGCUGACGAUAAUGACGGUAAGCGAGGAGGAAGCCACGGCUAACUACGUGCCAGCAGCCGCGGUAAUACGUAGGUGGCAAGCGUUGUCCGGAAUUACUGGGCGUAAAGGAUGCGUAGGCGGCCUCUUAAGUGGGAUGUGAAAUGCCGGGGCUUAACCCCGGAGGUGCAUUCCAUACUGGGAGGCUAGAGUGCAGGAGAGGAAAGCGGAAUUCCCAGUGUAGCGGUGAAAWGSGUAGAGAUUGGGAGGAACACCAGUGGCGAAGGCGGCUUUCUGGACUGUAACUGACGCUGAGGCA